rnacentral:rRNA from 1 species
CCUACGGGUGGCAGCAGUGAGGAAUAUUGGUCAAUGGGCGCGAGCCUGAACCAGCCAAGUAGCGUGAAGGAUGACUGCCCUACGGGUUGUAAACUUCUUUUAUAAAGGAAUAAAGUGAGGCACGUGUGCCUGUUUGGAUGUACGUUAGGAAUAAGGAUCGGCUAACUCCGUGCCAGCAGCCGCGGUAAUACGGAGGAUCCGAGCGUUAUCCGGAUUUAUUGGGGUUAAAGGGAGCGUAGAUGGGUUGUUAAGUCAGUUGUGAAAGUUUGCGGCUCAACCGUAAAAUUGCAAUUGAUACUGGCAGUCUUGCUUACAGUUGAUGUCGGCUGAAUUCGUGGUGUAGCGGUG